rnacentral:lncRNA from 1 species
UCUGAAGUCCUCAAGUGCGCAUGGAGACUGAGGAAGAUGAAAAUGGAAUCACUGGAAGAUGGCAGAACAGAAGCAUAGAGAAGUCACCUACACAAGGUUGCAUGGCUGGCAUUUGGUGAAUCAGGACCUGUCUGAUGUGGCUGAAGAUAAAUCUCUGUACACUUGAGCUCUUUUCGAACCAAGAAGCACCAAACCUAAAGCUUCAAACAACCAUGAAAUUCUCACAACUGAUGACCACAUGUGCCUUUUAUUUUUUAGCCAUGACAUUUUUUGAGUAUAAUAUCUACUUUCCAUAUAAGACCUCUUUAACAUCUAGGUUCCCACUGCUUUUUUCUGGCUUGUUCACUCUUCAAUAUAGAAGACUUGCGAUCUCAAAGAAUCUGUUUAUGGUUGUCGUAUAUGCUUGAUCCAAGUUUAUUUAUGAUUUAUUGUCCGUGUUUAUAAGGUUUGUUUUUAUUAAAGCUUCCAGAGAUGGCGUGAGUUCUUUCCAUAAGUAAAAACUUCCUACUCAAGUAGCUUACUGGUUAUUUCACAUGCAUCCGUGUCAAGAAGUACCACUGCUCACUCGGCAUCUUAGAAGCCACGAGAAGAUGGUCUUAAGAUGUUCUUGGUUCAAAGCUUCCUAUAUUCUCUCUGUUUUUCCUUCUUGGUUAAAUCACAGAGUAGUCUGGUUAUAGCUAAAUGAGGAGUAAAUCUCCCACAACAUCAUGUUUAUUCAAGGACUGAUCCACCCUGGGUAUUGGUUAAUAAAGUGUCUUUUCUUUUAUCA